rnacentral:rRNA from 1 species
GACGAACGCUGGCGGCGUGCUUAACACAUGCAAGUCGAACGGAAAGGCCCCUUUUGGGGUACUCGAGUGGCGAACGGGUGAGUAACACGUGAGUAACCCGCCCUUGACUUCGGGAUAACUUCAGGAAACUGGGGCUAAUACCGGAUAGGAAUCCUUGCUGCAUGGUGGGGGUUGGAAAGCUUCGGCGGUUUUGGAUGGACUCGCGGCUUAUCAGCUUGUUGGUGGGGUAGUGGCUUACCAAGGCUUUGACGGGUAGCCGGCCUGAGAGGGCGACCGGCCACAUUGGGACUGAGAUACGGCCCAGACUCCUACGGGAGGCAGAAGUGGGGAAUAUUGCACAAUGGGCGGAAGCCUGAUGCAGCAACGCCGCGUGCGGGAUGACGGUCUUCGGGUUGUAAACCGCUUUCAGCAGGGGCGAAGCUUGUGGUGACGGUACCUGCAGAAGAAGCACCGGCUAACUACGUG